UUGAACAUCUGUACGGUGAUUGAUUAUAACUAUGCCGAAGUUUAAAGAAGCCUUUUGCAUAGUUUUACUGUUAGUAAGAGUAUGUUCUAGAUCAUUAAUAUAGUAAUAUAUGCCAUUAAAAACAAACAUUAAAAAAUAUUUAAUUAUAUACCGUAUUAUGCUAAUUCUUACUAAAAUAUAAAAUAUGUUAAACCAAGUUCUGAAGAAGUUGCAAGAGAUGAAAGACCUUUACUCAAUGAUGGAUUCAGAUGAUGGCAAUUGGACUGGAACAAUGGUAGUCAAACGACUUCUGGUGGGAGUGCAAGAAGGGAGAGACAGAAGCCUCCCGAUAAAUUCGAAUUGAUAAGAAACCACUCAUUAGUGUGGCAGAAAAAAAUGGAUCUUAUCAGAGUGAAUAUUUCAUCUUUUCAUUUGCUGUAGACUUUAACUUUUCAUUCAGAUUUUGUCGCUGGAAUAAGUGGAAGUGUCAAAUGUGUUAUAGUUCAAGCCUGCCCUUCAGAAUGAAAUCUCUCAGCUGACUGAAAAGAUAUUUGUAAGUAACUUCUUGGAAAUAUACAAAUUAAAAUUUUCUACAAGCAAGCUAAGCAAUGGUAAAGCAAAUAUCUUGACUUUAUAUUGUUUUUUUAUUUUACUGACACCAUCAUGUUAUAAUAAAUCCAAUCAAAAACACUUUAGGUGUGAAAAAAACGUGCGU